ensembl:ncRNA lncRNA:CR43953 long non-coding RNA:CR43953
AGUAUUGCCGGUAUUCCUGGAAAUCUCAGCACCUAUGAUAUGUAUAAUAUUUCUGCUCACAUACUAAAUGAUAUUUGAAAGUGCAAAAUAUUCAGACCCUGAAUUGUCAUCACUGAUGCCCAUUGGCAGCCACCAAAUGACUGGAACGUGAUACACUGCACAUGGGGUUAUGUCAGUGCCAAUGGCAGCGUAUCUCCGACAUCCUGUCCAACCUCCCGGCGAUGUCACCCUCUUUCUUCUCCCUACCCGCCGCCGGACGAAUCCUGCUUGAUAUGAACGGGAUUCCUUGGCGCAGAUGAAUGCAUGCAGUUAUUCGGACCGUAAUGUGAAUUGAUAUGCCAACACGUACGCGGAUUUGGAGGAGCAACUGAUGCGGAGGACAGGUAACAGGUAACAACCUGGGAUAGGGCAAAUAGCUUACGCCCCGUGCCAAGCACUUAAAGAGCAAUUUAAUAACCGCUAUAAAAGGUUUUCUCUCUUCGCCAAAGAAACAAAAGCCAGCCAGGGGGGAUUCCCCUUCCUUUGGCAACGGCAAAAGCAAAUAGAGGAUAACUGGACAAACACAAACAGAGAAUAUCCGGCAAAGGGCAGCACUAAUGUUGCAGACUUCUCUCCUAUAUUAAAUGAAAUGCAAGCUUAAUUGAAAAACGCUGACUUGGCUGCACUGU